GGGCUCCUGGCGCAACGGUAGCGCGCCUGCAUGGCAUGCAGGAGGUUGCGGGUUCGAAUCCCGCGGAGUCCA
rnacentral:tRNA from 1 species